CGGGGAACUGAAACAUCUAAGUACCCGGAGGAAGAGAAAACAAUAGUGAUUCCCUAAGUAGUGGCGAGCGAACGGGGAAUAGCCCAAACCGAUGUCGUUUCGGCGGCAGCGGGGUUGUAGGGCUCACGUUUGGGAGCACGCGAUGAAGACGAAUGGCACUGGAAAGGCCAACCAUAGAAGGUGAAAGUCCUGUAGACGUAAAUCAACUGCCCCUGUGAUGUCCCUGAGUACCGCGGGACCGGAGAAAUCCUGUGGGAAGCUACCAGCACCAUCUGGUAAGGCUAAAUACGAUCUAUGACCGAUAGUGAACUAGUACCGUGAGGGAAAGGUGAAAAGAACCCCUGUUAGGGGAGUGAAAUAGUACUUGAAACCGUUUGCUUACAAGCAGUGGGAGCUGGACAAUUUUUUGAGAGUCUAGUGACUGCAUGCCUUUUGCAUAAUGAGUCAGCGAGUUACUUUGUGUAGCGAGGUUAAGCCAUAGGGUGUAGCCGGAGCGAAAGCGAGUCUUAAUAGGGCGAAUGAGUACGUAGCAUUAGACCCGAAGGCAAGUGAUCUAGAUAUGGGCAGGCUGAAGGUGCAGUAACAUGCACUGGAGGGCCGAACCGUUGAGCGUUGAAAAGCUCUCGGAUGACCUGUGUGUAGGGGUGAAAGGCCAAUCAAACUUGCUGAUAGCUGGUUCUCCGCGAAAUCUAUUUAGGUAGAGCGUCACGAUUAAGACUCCUGGGGGUAGAGCACUGGAUGGACUAGGGGGCCUCACCGGCUUACCAAAUCUUACCAAACUCCGAAUACCAGGAAGUUAUGCGUGGCAGACACACGGCGGGUGCUAACGUCCGUCG
rnacentral:rRNA from 1 species